rnacentral:rRNA from 1 species
CACCAGCAGCCCGAGUGGUCGCUGUUUUUAUUGGGCCUAAAGCGUCCGUAGCCGGACAGGUAAGUCUCUAGGUAAAUCUUACGUUCAAGCGUAAGGCUUCUGGAGAUACUGCCUGUCUUGAGGCCGGGAGAGGUUGGAGGUACUCCCGGGGUAGGGGUAAAAUCCUGUAAUCCUGGGGGGACCACCGGUGGCGAAGGCGUCCAACUGGAACGGCCCUGACGGUGAGGGACGAAACCCAGGGGAGCGAGCCGGAUUAGAUACCCGGGUAGUCCACGGUGUAAACGCUGCGAGCUUGGUGUUGGGGGUCCUACGAGGGCGCCCAGUGCCGGAGAGAAGUUGUUAAGCUCGCCGCCUGGGGAGUACGAUCGCAAGAUUGAAACUUAAAGGAAUUGGCGGGGGAGCACCGCAACGGGUGGAGCGUGCGGUUC